AGGGGAAUCCGGUGGGAAUCCGGAACUGUCCCGCAACGGUGUUGGAGCGGGCUCGGCCGGCCGGACCACGGCCCCGGCACGCCGCCCGUGAAGUCCGAAGACCU
rnacentral:ncRNA from 2 species